UAAAUAUUCGGUGUUCAACUAAACAAUAUUAAAAAAAAAUUAGUUAUGAUAAAUUUUUUAAUAUUUCGUUGUGAAUCCCUUGUUGUCUAUAACAAUUUGCAGGCUCUUUGGAAUUGAUUUAUUAACUUUCGAGUUUUCUCUAAUUAGUGUUUCCCUCUUAAGCUGAAGUAUGGUGUUAAAUUUCUUCUGUUAAACUCAUCUGGCCACUUCUUCCCAGGGAUAUGUAGUCAUUUAGGUAAAGAUCUGGGCUCUUGGCUGGUGUUUGUUUUGCCAUAGUUAAAGACAAGCUGCCCUGCAAAUUACAAAAUCAUCGCUACGCUAGCAGAGCCAACUGCUUCGGCUGCACAGCCGAUGCUUUCUCGCGCGCGAUCUCCUAAAAAUUGCGAGGCCGACGAUUUCAUUAAAUUUGAGCAAUUAGACCAAUUACGAGAAAAGGAAAAUAACAAUAAGAGAACGAAAUAAAUAAAGGAAUUCUUUCUCUAAAGGGCACGCGCCCUUCUUCGCAAAGUUACUUGCGAUUAGAUUUUUAUAAGCAGAAUAGCAAAAUACAACAACAAAUACAACUCACAAAAGUGAUUAUUUAAGGUUAUUUAAUCAUGUCCCUUUUUCCAACGCAAACGAAAGAAAGUUGGGCCUAACUCCGUAUGACAAGGAAACGCACAAUACUCUGAAAUUUUACAUAUAUAAAAUUUGUGUAUUUAAAAUCCCUUAAAUUCUAUGUAUAAGUUAAAUAAUGAGUCAAAUUUAAAAAAAAAAUACAUUUUUAGGAAUACAAAUUUUAUGAAAUAAGUUUAAUUUUGCUUUAAUGAAAGGUUGAUGCAAAAAAUCUCUAAAGAUUUGAUGUAUUUGUGUUGAA
rnacentral:sRNA from 1 species